CUUCGGGAGCUGAGGGCCGGGAAGGACAGUAGUGGGGGAAGGCGUGAGGUUGGAGGGGCGCAGUGGGCGGGGCCCGAGGGCCGGACGCCGAGUCUGAGCGCCUGUGGGGAGGCCCCCCAGACGUUUCCAGGAAGCAGCUCGCUCCGCAGCUCCACCUGCUGGUCCCGCCAGAUCCGCGCGUCCUGAGGACCAGCAGGUCCGAUACUCUGCUAAGUCCUGGAGCAAGUCCUCCCCCUGCGCGGGUCCUGUUCCUCUUCUCGUGGUCACAGCCAAGCAAGAUGAUUACAAACAGCCCUAGGCUUUCAUUGAGUUUACAGCUCUCAGUCCCAGAAGAGAGCCUACUUCCGCCCAGCUUCAGCAUAAGAAAAGAAGUCUUGGGACUGUUUCCCCUAAACUUCCUGAAGUUGUCCUAAAACCUUGCAAAAGCUGAAUCCCAAAGCCAGGCCCUCUAUGGAAGGAGAAGACUCAGCAAAUAUUUGUGAACCAAGCUGGAAAGGGUGGCGUUUAAUCUAUGUCUCAGAAAACGAGGAAAAGAAAGAGCACUUCUGGCCAGGGGAGGGUAUAGGCCGUGGCCUGGAGGCAGGAAUAGACUUUAUUUGUUUGGGGAAGGGGGAAGAGACUUUGAGGUUGGUGGAAAGCGGAGGGGGUUUGUACCGUAAUGGUCAUUGGUGGAUUGCCUCCCAAGCAACCAUUCCCUCUGAUUAUUUUUUUAAUAUAAAUUUAUUUAUUUUAUUGUUUUUGGCUGCGUUGGGUCUUUGUUGCUGCGCGCGGUCUUUCUCUAGUUGCGGUGAGCGGGGGCUACUUUUCGUUGCGGUGCGCGGGCUUCUCAUUGCGGAGGCUUCUCUUUGUUGCGAAGCACGGGCUCUAGGCACGCAGGCUUCAGUAGCUGUGGCUUGCGGACUCUAGAGUGCAGGCUCAGUAGUUGUGGUGCUUAGUUGCUAAGUGCAGGCUUAGUUGCUCUGUAGCCUGUGGGAUCUUUUUUUUUUUUUAGCCUGUGGGAUCUUCCCGAACCAGGGCUUGAACCCGUGUCCCCUGCAUUGGCAGGCAGAUUCUUAAGCGGGAAGUCCCCCUCUGAUUUCUAUUUGGAGAUCUACCAGUUCCCCUGCACUUAGACAGGUAAGGAUGGAGCUACAGCCUCAGCAUCAGAGCACAUAAGGUGGCUUGGCCAAUCUUUUUUUUUUUUUUUUUUUUUUUUUGCGGUACGCGGGCCUCUCACUGUUGUGGCCUCUCCCGUGGCAGAGCACAGGCUCCGGCUGCGCAGGCUCAGCGGCCAUGGCUCACGGGCCUAGCCGCUCUGCGGCAUGUGGGAUCUUCCCGGACCGGGGCACGAACCCGUGUCCCCUGCAUCGGCAGGCGGACUCUCAACCACUGCGCCACCAGGGAAGCCCUUGGCCAAUCUUUAUACCAUUUUCUUGGCUGUGGUGAUUGGCUCAUGUGUGGGCACAUGACCUACACAGGUCCAAUCAGAAUGGGUUUCAGGCAAUGGCCUGGUGAGGAUGGGGGCUGGAGCAUGUCCCUACCAUGAGGGCCUGUCUGAGGUUUGGGCCAAUCCAGAAGCCUUGUCACCGAGAGAUGAAGAGGCAAAAACCAGUCUUUGGGGACAUCAUUCGAGAGCCUGCAGCCAGGCCUAUACCUGGGCUGUUCAGCUGUGGGACCAAUAACUUUGUGCUUCCCCUGGUGGGCAUUAGGCUUUCUGUCACUUGGCUCCUGAGGUUAAAAAGUUGGUGAAACCAGUCUGGGAAGAGCCUGGAUGUGGGUCCAACCUGACUUCAAUGAGGAGACAAGUCAGCCCCAUGCUAUGUCUUUUUUGACCCACAGCACAGGAACAUGAUGGAGACAAGGGUUCCCAGUGCAGAGAGAGCAGCAGGAGAGGAGCAGGCAGUGGAGGUGUGUGAGCUGAGACAACUGCAGAGACCUUGAUGAUGACAAUUUUGUAGAGAAUGGCCUGGGUCCUUGAGUAACUGCAAGGAACAGAGCUGGCCACCCACCUGGACGAUUAACAAACUAAUUCAUUCUGGCUUGACACAAGCUAAUUCAUUCUCCCUGUUGCCCAGCAAGCUCCUUCUCAUCCUCUGAGGCACAGCUCAAAUGUCCCCUCCUCCAGGAAGUCUUCUCUGAACUCACCCAGAGGAAUAAUCAGUUCUCCCUGCUCUGUGUUUCAAGGUUGUGCUCCUAAGUCCCUCCUUCAGGCCUCCGUCACCGGCCACAUCUGAUUCCGAUGUGCUCCAGUUUUGUAGAGGGUGCUUCCCCUGUUGGGUUGUGACACACUCCCCCACCGAGGGCAGGAAUCGUGAACCCAGAUUGUGAUGGAUCAUUUGAUUCCUCCAUUCAUAUACUCUGCAGAGGUCCCUACACUUGCAAGAUGUCUGCAAAAUCCUGGAAAUGCAGUGUGGGGUUGGAGCUAGGAAUUUGAGCCCCUGUUCGUGCUUAAUUAGUUCAGCUCAUGGAAGUAUCUCCGUCCUGUUCUCCUGUCUCUGGUACUAAGUUUUUAAACCAGAUCUAGAACUCAGCCUCUUUCUCUGAUUCCCACAAAUCCCCCUCACACAGGCCUUUGUGUGGGUAGCAGACUACUGAAGUAGUUGUGGCACGCGGGCUCUAGAGCGCAGGCUCAGUAGUUGUGGCGCACGGGCUUAGUUGCUCCACGGCAUGUGGGAUCUUCCCAGACCAGGGCUCGAAUCCAUGUCCCCUGCAUUGGCAGGUGGAUUCUUAACCACUGUGCCACCAGGGAAGUCCUGCAAUUUGUAAUUAUUAUG